GAUGAACGCUGGCAGAAUGCUUAACACAUGCAAGUCAACUUGAACUUCGGUUUGUGUGUCGGACGGGUGAGUAACGCGUACAGAACUUUCCUCACAGCUAGUGACACCAUUUGUAAACGAAUGCUAAUACCUGCUAUUAUGAUUCUAUGGCAUCGUAUAAUUCUUAAAGCUAUAUGCGCUGUGAGAGAGCUUUUCGUCCCAUUAGCUAGUUGUAGAGGUAACAGCUCACCAAGGCGAUGAUGGGUAGCCGGCCUGAGAGGGUGAUCGGCCACAAGGGGAAUGAGACACGGCCCUUACACCUACGGGAGGCAGCAGAGGGGAAUAUUGGACAAUGGACCGAGAGUCUGAUACAGCAAUUCUGUGUGGACGAUGAAGUUUUUCGGAAGGGAAAGUGAUGUCAGUUGGGAAGAAAAAAAUGAAGGUACCAAAAGAAGAAGUGACGGCUAAAUACGUG
rnacentral:rRNA from 1 species